rnacentral:rRNA from 1 species
UACGUAGGGGGCUAGCGUUGUUCGGAUUCAUUGGGCGUAAAGGGUGCGUAGGCGGCGCGGUAAGUCGGGUGUGAAAUCUCGGAGCUUAACUCCGAAACUGCAUUCGAUACUGCCGUGCUUGAGGACUGGAGAGGAGACUGGAAUUUACGGUGUAGCGGUGAAAUGCGUAGAUAUCGUAAGGAAGACCAGUGGCGAAGGCGGGUCUCUGGACAGUUCCUGACGCUGAGGCACGAAGGUCAGGGGAGCAAACGGG